rnacentral:rRNA from 1 species
GAUUAGAUACCCUGGUAGUCCACGCCCUAAACGAUGUCAACUGGUUGUUGGGAGGGUUUCUUCUCAGUAACGUAGCUAACGCGUGAAGUUGACCGCCUGGGGAGUACGGCCGCAAGGUUGAAACUCAAAGGAAUUGACGGGGACCCGCACAAGCGGUGGAUGAUGUGGUUUAAUUCGAUGCAACGCGAAAAACCUUACCUACCCUUGACAUGCCAGGAAUCUUGCAGAGAUGUGAGAGUGCUCGAAAGAGAACCUGGACACAGGUGCUGCAUGGCCGUCGUCAGCUCGUGUCGUGAGAUGUUGGGUUAAGUCCCGCAACGAGCGCAACCCUUGUCAUUAGUUGCUACGAAAGGGCACUCUAAUGAGACUGCCGGUGACAAACCGGAGGAAGGUGGGGAUGACGUCAGGUCAUCAUGGCCCUUAUGGGUAGGGCUACACACGUCAUACAAUGGCCGGGACAGAGGGCUGCCAACCCGCGAGGGGGAGCUAAUCCCAGAAACCCGGUCGUAGUCCGGAUCGCAGUCUGCAACUCGACUGCGUGAAGUCGGAAUCGCUAGUAAUCGCGGAUCAGCUUGCCGCGGUGAAUACGUUCCCGGGUCUUGUACACACCGCCCGUCACACCAUGGGAGCGGGUUCUGCCAGAAGUAGUUAGCCUAACCGCAAGGAGGGCGAUUACCACGGUAGGGUUCGUGACUGGGGUGA